CAGAAAAUAGUUUAGUGUAGAAUACUGGCUUUGGGAGCCAGUGGUGUGAGUUAAAAUCUCUCUUUUCUGG
rnacentral:tRNA from 1 species